CACAUGCGCUACAAUUCCAACAUGUUGGGGGGUUUUUUGUAGAGAGUUUAUUUUGUGCUAGGUAGAGGUAGCGAAGUGAUCAGUAUUGGCAAAAUUUGGUCUUGAAAGAGGAAUUUGGUUAGGGUGUAUUGGACAGGUGAUGGUCCCAACGGGAAAGUUUUGUCGAAAACCCCUGGAGUUUUGGAAGAUCGUAUCAAGAGCAUAUUUUCACUAAACUGGAGAAAUAUUGAAUAGGAAAUGGAGAAACCUGAAAAAAAUCUACCCAAGCACUAAAGACAAUAUAGGUUAAUGAAAUACAUAGAGAGGACAAAACAGUUAACCUCCGUAACCUAAUAACCUUGACAGUAGUGCUUGUUAUAAGGAAAAAAGCCCCUUGUCGAAAAUAAAAAGGACCCACCUGCUAUCCCAGUGACUUCACAGAUGGAAACCACUCCAAUCAGGUUCUAUAGAAGUACCAAGACUAGGGAGUCAAACAGUGGAAUGUUUUAUCUAAGGAGAAGGCUGACAAAUAUUGAGGAGGCUCGAAUACAAGAAAUUAACCUCUUACGAAACGCCAUUGAAAGAAGCAAGAAAAUCCAGGAGUAAAGAAAUAAAAUUUUGGACUUAUUAUGUGAAUUACAAAAAAAAAGUAGCAAUAAUUCGAAAACAUUUUUAUUUGUUAUAAAA